rnacentral:rRNA from 1 species
AGAGUUUGAUCAUGGCUCAGGACGAACGCUGGCGGCGUGCUUAACACAUGCAAGUCGAGCGGAAGGCCCUUCGGGGUACUCGAGCGGCGAACGGGUGAGUAACACGUGAGUAAUCUGCCCUCCACUUUGGGAUAGCCCUCCGAAAGGGGGAUUAAUACCGGAUAUGACUCGUCCAGGCAUCUGGGUGGGUGGAAAGUUUUUCGGUGGGGGAUGUGCUCGCGGCCUAUCAGCUUGAUGGUGGGGUAAUGGCCUACCAUGGCUUCGACGGGUAGCCGGCCUGAGAGGGUGACCGGCCACACUGGGACUGAGACACGGCCCAGACUCCUACGGGAGGCAGCAGUGGGGAAUAUUGGACAAUGGGCGGAAGCCUGAUCCAGCAACGCCGCGUGAGGGAUGACGGCCUUCGGGUUGUAAACCUCUUUCAGUGCCGACGAAGCGAGAGUGACGGUAGGCGCAGAAGAAGCACCGGCCAACUACGUGCCAGCAGCCGCGGUAAUACGUAGGGUGCGAGCGUUGUCCGGAAUUAUUGGGCGUAAAGGGCUCGUAGGCGGUUUGUCGCGUCGGGAGUGAAAACACCGGGCUUAACUCGGUGCUUGCUUCCGAUACGGGCAGACUAGAGGUAUGCAGGGGAGAACGGAAUUCCUGGUGUAGCGGUGAAAUGCGCAGAUAUCAGGAGGAACACCGGUGGCGAAGGCGGUUCUCUGGGCAUGACCUGACGCUGAGGAGCGAAAGUGUGGGGAGCGAACAGGAUUAGAUACCCUGGUAGUCCACACCGUAAACGUUGGGCGCUAGGUGUGGGAUCCAUUCCACGGGUUCCGUGCCGCAGCUAACGCAUUAAGCGCCCCGCCUGGGGAGUACGGCCGCAAGGCUAAAACUCAAAGGAAUUGACGG